rnacentral:misc_RNA from 1 species
GAACGCACCUUGCGCCCUUUGGCCAUUCCGAAGGGCAUGCCUGUUUGAGUAUCAUGAACACCUCAACUCUCAUGGCUUGCCAUGAUGAGCUUGGACUUUGGGGGUCUUGCUGGCCUGUGGUCGGCUCCUCUCAAACGAAUCAGCUUGCCAGUGUUUGGUGGCAUCACAGGUGUGAUAACUAUCUGCGCUUGUGGUUUCCAUCAGAUAACCUCCGGUGAUGGAGGUUCGCUGGAGCUCAUAAAUGUCUCUCCUAAGUGAGGACAGCUCUUUUAACGUUUGAUCUCAAAUCAGGUAGGACUACCCGCUGAACUUAAG